rnacentral:rRNA from 1 species
GUGCCAGCAGCCGCGGUAAUACCAGCCCCGCGAGUGGUUGGGACGUUUACUAGGCCUAAAGCGCCUGUAGCCGGCCCUGUAAGUCCCUCCCUAAAGGCCCGGGCUCAACCCGGGAACCGGGAGGGAUACUGCAGGGCUAGGGGGCGGGAGAGGCGGGGGGUACUCCCGGAGUAGGGGCGAAAUCCGUAGAUCCCGGGAGGACCACCAGUGGCGAAGGCGCCCGGCUGGAACGCGCCCGACGGUGAGGGGCGAAAGCCGGGGGAGCGAACCGGAUUAGAUACCCGGGUAGUCCCGGCUGUAAACUAUGCGGGCCAGGUGUCGGGCGGGCUUAGAGCCCGCCCAGUGGCGGAGGGAAGCCGUUAAGCCCGCCGCCUGGGGAGUACGGCCGCAAGGCUGAAACUUAAAGGAAUUGGCGGGGGGGCACCACAAGGGGUGAAGCUUGCGGCUUAAUUGGAGUCAACGCCGGAAACCUUACCCGGGGCGACAGCAGGAUGAUGGCCAGGCUAACGACCUUGCCGGACGAGCUGAGAGGAGGUGCAUGGCCGUCGUCAGCUCGUGCCGUGAGGUGUCCGGUUAAGUCCGGCAACGAGCGAGACCCCCACCCCUAGUUGCUACCCGAUCCUUCGGGAUCGGGGGCACACUAGGGGGACUGCCGGCGUAAGCCGGAGGAAGGAGGGGGCCACGGCAGGUCAGUAUGCCCCGAAACCCCGGGGCUGCACGCGAGCUGCAAUGGCGGGGACAGCGGGAUCCGACCCCGAAAGGGGGAGGUAAUCCCGUAAACCCCGCCCCAGUAGGGAUCGAGGGCUGUAACUCGCCCUCGUGAACGUGGAAUCCCUAGUAACUCGCGUGUCACCAACGCGCGGUGAAUACGUCCCUGCCCCUUGCACACACCGCCCGUC